UACGUAGGGGGCAAGCGUUGUCCGGAUUUAUUGGGCGUAAAGAGCGUGUAGGCGGCCAUGUAGGUCCGUUGUGAAAACUCGAGGCUCAACCUCGAGACGCCGAUGGAAACCAUAUGGCUAGAGUCCGGAAGAGGAGAGUGGAAUUCCUGGUGUAGCGGUGAAAUGCGCAGAUAUCAGGAAGAACACCCGUGGCGAAGGCGGCUCUCUGGGACGGUACUGACGCUGAGACGCGAAAGCGUGGGGAGCGAACAGG
rnacentral:rRNA from 1 species